GACGAACGCUGGCGGCGUGCUUAACACAUGCAAGUCGAACGGAAAGGCCCUGCUUUUGUGGGGUGCUCGAGUGGCGAACGGGUGAGUAACACGUGAGUAACCUGCCCUUGACUUUGGGAUAACUUCAGGAAACUGGGGCUAAUACCCGAUAGGAGCUCCUGCUGCAUGGUGGGGGUUGGAAAGUUUCGGCGGUUGGGGAUGGACUCGCGGCUUAUCAGCUUGUUGGUGGGGUAGUGGCUUACCAAGGCUUUGACGGGUAGCCGGCCUGAGAGGGUGACCGGCCACCUUGGGACUGAGAUACGGCCCAGACUCCUACGGGAGGCAGCAGGGGGGAAUAUUGCACAAUGGGCGGAAGCCUUAAGCAGCAACGCCGCGUGCGGGAUGACGGCCUUCGGGUUUGAAACCGCUUUCGCCUGUGACGAAGCGUGAGUGACGGUAAUGGGUAAAGAAGCACCGGCUAACUACGUG
rnacentral:rRNA from 1 species